AAAAUGUUAUGACCGAAACAACCAUGUGACUCACUGCUGACCUGUCAUCAGAGACAGGGACCAGAUGAAGAUGAUGACAAUGACAAUCAUGGCUAUGACAGUGAUGAUGAUGACAAGAAGUCAGACACAGAUGCGAGACACACCUGCUGUGUGUUAGACAGGAGGAGCAAGGAGAGAGGAACAGAAAACGCACUGUGGAAACAAGGACAAAGCUGUGCUUUAGAUAAUACAGUUCCUUAUGAAAAUGAACCAGCGAAGGCGGUCAUCUGACCGAUCCGACCAACCACUCACAUGAUAGGUGUCCAGAACCCACCCUGCUGCCGGCUGAUGGUACGUUCUUUCCAACACACACAGCACAGAUCAUGUCAGACCCUAUCCUGGGUCAGUCACAACAAGGAUGCCAGGUACUUUCUGUCCUGAAUAGUCAGAGAGUCACUAUCAA
rnacentral:lncRNA from 1 species